UCACACCUCAGCAGCUGUCCCUGGCUGGGGAGAGCAAGGCUUCACCUGGGACCACAGUCCCAGCUCCUGUUGCAGGGAAGGGUGAUGGGUAGCUGCCUCCUCCCUGCUGACAGCACUCUUUGGAAGGGACCCACACAGAUCAUCGAGUCCAAUUCCUGGCCCUGGACAGGACAAUCCCAGAAAUCCCACCAUGUGCCUGAGGGUGUUGUCCUAAGGGAAUUUGGACAUUGUCCAAAUGCUCCUGGAGCUCUGUCAGGCUUGGUGCUGUGACCAUUCCCUGGGGAGCCUGUUCCUGUUCGUGAUCACCCUCUGGGUGAAGAACCUUUUCCUGAUAUCUUUAUUUUACAGAGCUGAGACCCUUAAAGCAUUUUCUGAACUCAGGUCUCGGCUCCAAAGGCAGAGGCAGUGUAACCUGCCAGACAAACUCUUGGGGCUGUGCUAAAGCAAGCACUGUGGAGCUCUGCUCCAAGUGUUGGUGGUGACCGUGGAGUCACCUCCUCAGCCAGAGCCAAGCAAUCUUGUUUCUGCUCAUUAGCUCUGAAAGGUUUUUCCAUCCAUAAUAAGAAAGUCAUUAAUGUUAAACUUCCACUGCCAAGUAGGACUGAUUUGAAGAUUAUAACCACUAUAAAGGGGGGAUGCAUCACAUAUACAAUGUGUUAAAGCCCUGGUGUGCAGGAAUUGUUGCUUCAAUGGUUGCCUGUCAUCUGUGGAACUCACCAAAGCUCAUCCAUGGAGCUCAGACAGAUGUGGGACUGCUCAGCAGCCUGGAAGGGGUAGCAAAAAGUGGCUACUUUCAAAGGGAAAAGGUAAAUUCAAAUCAGUAUCAUCCUCUACAGAAGGGCUGUUAUCCUGUCCUAGGAGACGACAGAAUUAGUGAUCUAACACGUCUCCAUGCUCUUGUUGCUGUGAUAUUUUAUUAAUAUGGUGCAUGGCCCAGAGGUCCUCAGUUCACAGAUGGGAAAUGCUCAGUGUGGGACCCCCUCUCCAAGGAGCUACCAAGACUGACUUAUCUUCUCCUGAACGUGGCCCAGAAAUCUGGGUGCAGUUAUGUGGUGUGUUCUGCCGAUGUGUUCUGCUUCCCCUCCGUGGCUGAUGUGUCAGUGAAUCAGCUGUCCGUCCAUCCAUCCAUCCAUCCAUCCAUCCAUUCAUCCAUCCACUUCUUGGAUGUAAAAGUUAUUUUAGACAUAUAUCAUUCAUCAUAUAAAAAGCUUUUGACAGUGAACUGUGCAGGUGUGUGUUGCUCCUCUGACUGGGAGAUGGGAUGGAUGGAUGGAUGGAUGGAUGGAUGGAUGGAUGGAUGGAUGGAUGGAUGGAUGGAUGGAUGGAUGGAGGAACCUGGUGAGCAGAAAGAGGGAUUUGGCUCAGCUCAGCACAUCCAGCCUCAGCUCUGCCUGUGUGAUGUUACAGGGCAGACCAAAGUGUGUGAGAAAGAAGUGGGCAUGGUAAGGCAGAUAACCAGUAAUUUGCUAUGAGUAUGAUCACAGAAGAGGACCAGUGGAUUUGGUUUGUCCAAAGAAAAAUGCAGAGAGAGAAAACAGAGAGAGAAAGAAGCAACCAAUACACUGUGUGAAGCAUUCAAAAAGUGGUUAAAGGAGCAGAACCACAGAAAGAUAAAUUCAUGAAGCCUGGAGAGUGCUGCAGAAAUCUCAUUAUAAAUAUCAUGUUAAGUUGUAGAUCAAGAAAUCCCCGACUUUCCAUCUUUAUCUCUUCUCCUUAAAUGCAUUAGCAGCUGACUUGUCCUUCUGGCUACUCUCAGGUCUUACUGAAAUGUAGUUUCCCAUUCCAUGUGCUUCCCUCAUCCAGGCUGGGUUUGCUGCAUGGCAACACUGAUGAAGUGUCCAUGUCAGCCCCCCUGUGGUGGCUAAAACCAACCCUGUAAGCAAAGCUUCAUAAUUUUAUUUAUGACUUUUGGAUGAGAUAAUGGUUUUCCACUUUGAAAAGAAAGCUCACUACUUCAACAUUUAUUUUCUAUAAAUGCCAUGGCAUUUAUAUUGCAACAGGAGACUAUUCAGUGACAUUAUCUGAUAAAUAUCGUGUUAUACAGCUGCAAUUUACAAUGCAUAUAUUUUUAACGGUGCUUCUAAGCUAAAUUAAAUGCUUCUAAAAUAUGAUACUUAAGGAAAACAAAUGUCUGUUCUAGCAAUUUUGUUUUUCAGGGUGCACUAUUUUUUAAAAACCAGAUACCAUCUUCAUCCUGUCAGGCAGUAAAUUAUGCACUUGCACUUUCAUAAACUCUCCCCUUGGGAACUUAGUCAAUGAAAUGGAAAUGUCUUUUUCACACCCUCCAACUCCAGAGAAAUAAAGGGAAAUAGCCAACUUGGUUAUAAACUGAAUAUCUAGAGGGAAUCCAUAUAAAAUGCGAAUUAAUGCAGUCCUGAUGCAUGUAUUGUUUAGCAUAUGUACCAUUCACUCAAAUGGUGCAUUGAGUUGUGACUGGGAUCAUUAAUGUUUCCCCUCCUUUUCUCUGAAUUGGGAGAGUAAUUGCAGGUUCUCUGGUGGGAUCUGCAGGGACAAAGACACUCACUGGCACUGGAUUGUGAACCUCCCUUCCAAGCCAGGACACCUGCAGGAGGAGGAAAGCUCUGCUGGCCUGCUCAGGGAGUAAAGCACGACAGCAUUUACACCUCAGUUGGUCUUUCCUGUGUUGUGGGGUGGGAUUGGGCAGGACAAGGGCUUGCAAUGGGGUGUUCUGCCUGUGGGACAGCCUUUCACAAGGAGCAGCAGAGCUACUGAGGCCACUGAAUUUGAUGUUCCUUGUAGGUCCCUUCCAACUGAAUUAUUAAAAUCUACUUCUGUUUUUACCAUCUAUCACCCAGAACCACAGAGUUUUGCCUGUAGCAGUCAAAUGCCUUCAUAUGAAGCCCUGUGUGGUCCAAGGAGUUGUGUUAUCCCCUCACCACAUCACAUGUGGAGAGUGUGAGAAGCCAGCAAAAAGGCAGUAAGGAAAGGAAGCCAGGAAGGGAUUUGAAGGGAGUCUGCUGAGAUGCCCAGGGAUCCCUCAGGAGCAGGAGGAGCUACAGCAGCUCUCCUGAGCCAGGAAGGGCACUGAAGCUGUUCACCUGACUACUGAUGGUCCUCAUUUUCCCCAAUCUACCCUUGAGAGCCCUCUAAAAACCCCAGCUCUUCACUCUGGGGAACGCAUGAAAUGUGAGAUGUAUUAGAUGCAUUCAGCAAUGGCAGCAAACUUAGAGAAAACAGGAAAAUCAACAGCAACAACAACAAAAAAGGAAUCUUGAAAUUUGGCAGAAAAACAUGCAAUGCAAACCCCACAAGAACGUGAGUAUCUUUGCACAAAGCCACUUACGGAUGCAUUCCUUAAAGGUAAUCCCUUCAGACAGUGUGAGGCUGCCAUUUUUUUGAAAGAUAUUAAAGCAGCUGUUGCUAGAACACAGAGAAUUACUGAGCUAUCUGCCAAGGGAUGGACAUUUGUAAUGCUAUAUCUACUUUUUUUUUUUUUAAUUUACAGUUUAUUUUGAGACCAAAUUUCCAGCUAGUGAAGGUAAUUGAGACUGCAAACAAAAUCUCACUAUCCACUGAUCUGCCAAAUCAAAUUUUUUCUCCUGUGAGCCAAUUCACCCCUAAAAUUCAAGUAUUCACACCUCAUCACUCCAGCAGGAUGCUCCUCCAAGGUGGGAAAGCAGCCCUGAGGUGACAGCUCUGCAGCACUUUGGGGGACUCAGGAGCAGGUCCCUGCCAUGCAGGUGUCACAGAGAAAUCAGAUUGUGACAGUGUAACCAAGAACUGCAUUGGAGUAUGUGUGCACAAGAAAAUCUCCAGAAAUUGGUAUGGAAUGCCUCACUUUGGACACUUCUCAUGUCUGGACCAGGUAACACAGCGACCUUCACAACAUCCCUUAAGGCAGACUGUGCUGUAGAUGAGGUGGGAUCUGUAGGUGAAGUCCUGUCAGGGUCUGAAAGACAGGGGCUGUGCUCAUGAAUCCCAUUGCUCUUGUAAUCCAAGGAAACGCUUUUAGUCAGUAGCUGAUGUUUCCUGCUCCCUGGGGGGCUGCUGAGAGGGCUCUGAGCACCUGAAGCAGCAGGUGCCCCAAGAGCAGCAUUUUGAGAGAUUUCAGCUGCCAGAGCUGGGCAUGCUUAUUGCUGUGUGGUGAACUGCUCUUCAAAACCCAGUAACAUGACUAAUUUGGGUGGCUUUAUCUAAAAGCCUAUAAAAGGCUGCUUCAUGCCAAAUUUCACGACGUUAUUUCCAGUGUUAGCCCUAAGAACCACAGCAAGCAAGAAUGACCAAAGUGAUGCUCUUCCCCUACUCUGCUUUCAUCCUUGGAAGUGCCAAAGGACUUGGAACGUUCGGAAAACAUCCAACACAGACUGCCAAGGCAGAAAGUUACAGCCUAAUUCAUUCAAGUUUGGUAAUUCAUAACAAGCCACAACAGGGAUGUAAGCUGGGGAGCAUCUGGCUAUUGUAGCUCUGGUUCCUAAUGGUUUAUAAUUGGUAAAUCACAGUUUUAGGGCUGACCAGCUUAAUGAAUUGAAAGAGAUGAUGGCAGAUUGUCACUGAAAGAGUCUUUACCUUGAAUUUUAAUCUU